rnacentral:rRNA from 1 species
UAGAGUUUGAUCCUGGCUCAGAGCGAACGCUGGCGGCAGGCCUAAAACAUGCAAGUCGAACGCCGUAGCAAUACGGAGUGGCAGACGGGUGAGUAACACGUGGGAACGUGCCCUUUGGUUCGGAACAACACAGGGAAACUUGUGCUAAUACCGGAUAAGCCCUUACGGGGAAGGAUUUAUCGCCAAAGGAUCGGCCCGCGUCUGAUUAGCUAGUUGGUGAGGUAACGGCUCACCAAGGCUACGAUCAGUAGCUGGUCUGAGAGGAUGAUCAGCCACACUGGGACUGAGACACGGCCCAGACUCCUACGGGAGGCAGCGGUUAGGAAUCUUGGACAAUGGGCGCAAGCCUGAUCCAGCCAUGCCGCGUGAGUGAUGAAGGCCUUAGGGUUGUAAAGCUCUUUCAGCGGGGAAGAUAAUGACGGUACCCGCAGAAGAAGCCCCGGCUAACUUCGUGCCAGCAGCCGCGGUAAUACGAAGGGGGCUAGCGUUGCUCGGAAUCACUGGGCGUAAAGCGCACGUAGGCGGCUUUUUAAGUCAGGGGUGAAAUCCUGGAGCUCAACUCCAGAACUGCCUUUGAUACUGGGAAGCUUGAGUCCGGGAGAAGUGAGUGGAACUGCNAGUGUANAGGUGAAAUUCGUAAAUAUUCGCAAGACACCAAUGGCGAAGGCGGCUCACUGGCCCGGUACUGACGCUGAGGUGCAAAAACGUGGGGAGCAAACAGAUUAAAUACCCUGGUAAUCCACCCUGUAACCAUGGAUGCUACCCCUUGCCGGGUUUACUCCUCCAUGGCGCAACUUACCCAUUAACAUCCCGCCUUGGGAAUACGGGCCCAAAAUUA